GGCGGUAGGCCUAACACAUGCAAGUCGAACGGCAGCACAGUAAGAGCUUGCUCUUAUGGGUGGCGAGUGGCGGACGGGUGAGGAAUACAUCGGAAUCUACCUUUUCGUGGGGGAUAACGUAGGGAAACUUACGCUAAUACCGCAUACGACCUUCGGGUGAAAGCAGGGGACCUUCGGGCCUUGCGCGGAUAGAUGAGCCGAUGUCGGAUUAGCUAGUUGGCGGGGUAAAGGCCCACCAAGGCGACGAUCCGUAGCUGGUCUGAGAGGAUGAUCAGCCACACUGGAACUGAGACACGGUCCAGACUCCUACGGGAGGCAGCAGUGGGGAAUAUUGGACAAUGGGCGCAAGCCUGAUCCAGCCAUACCGCGUGGGUGAAGAAGGCCUUCGGGUUGUAAAGCCCUUUUGUUGGGAAAGAAAAGCAGUCGAUUAAUACUCGGUUGUUCUGACGGUACCCAAAGAAUAAGCACCGGCUAACUUCGUGCCAGCAGCCGCGGUAAUACGAAGGGUGCAAGCGUUACUCGGAAUUACUGGGCGUAAAGCGUGCGUAGGUGGUUGUUUAAGUCUGUUGUGAAAGCCCUGGGCUCAACCUGGGAAUUGCAGUGGAUACUGGACGACUAGAGUGUGGUAGAGGGUAGUGGAAUUCCCGGUGUAGCAGUGAAAUGCGUAGAGAUCGGGAGGAACAUCCAUGGCGAAGGCAGCUACC
rnacentral:rRNA from 1 species